GACGAACGCUGGCGGCGUGCUUAACACAUGCAAGUCGAACGGAAAGGCCCUGCUUGCAGGGUACUCGAGUGGCGAACGGGUGAGUAACACGUGGGUGAUCUGCCCUGCACUUCGGGAUAAGCCUGGGAAACUGGGUCUAAUACCGGAUAGGAGCCAUUUUUAGUGUGAUGGUUGGAAAGUUUUUUCGGUGUAGGAUGAGCUCGCGGCCUAUCAGCUUGUUGGUGGGGUAAUGGCCUACCAAGGCGGCGACGGGUAGCCGGCCUGAGAGGGUGGACGGCCACAUUGGGACUUGGGUACGGCCCAGGCUCCUACGGGAGGCAGCAGUGGGGAAUAUUGCACCAUGGGCGGAAGCCUGAUGCAACGACGCCGCGGGGGGGAUGACGGGCUUCGGGUUGUAAACUCCUUUCGCUAGGGACGAAGCUUUUUGUGACGGUACCUAGAUAAGAAGCACCGGCUAACUACGUG
rnacentral:rRNA from 1 species